UGAUGACAAUCUCCGGAAUCGCUGCACUGCUUUGAUGAAAACGCCUUUGAACCCUUUUCCAUCUGACGACCGAGUGCUGUUAGG
rnacentral:snoRNA from 1 species